rnacentral:rRNA from 1 species
AUUGAACGCUGGCGGCAGGCUUAACACAUGCAAGUCGAGCGGGGGAGGUUGCUUCGGUAACUGACCUAGCGGCGGACGGGUGAGUAAUACUUAGGAAUCUGCCUAUUAAUGGGGGACAACAUCCCGAAAGGGAUGCUAAUACCGCAUACGCCCUACGGGGGAAAGCAGGGGAUCACUUGUGACCUUGCGUUAAUAGAUGAGCCUAAGUCGGAUUAGCUAGUUGGUGGGGUAAAGGCCUACCAAGGCGGCGAUCUGUAGCGGGUCUGAGAGGAUGAUCCGCCACACUGGGACUGAGACACGGCCCAGACUCCUACGGGAGGCAGAAGUGGGGAAUAUUGGACAAUGGGGGGAACCCUGAUCCAGCCAUGCCGCGUGUGUGAAGAAGGCCUUAUGGUUGUAAAGCACUUUAAGCGAGGAGGAGGCUCUUUUGGUUAAUACCCAAGAUGAGUGGACGUUACUCGCAGAAUAAGCACCGGCUAACUCUGUGCCAGCAGCCGCCGUAAGAC